GCCUCUGUGGUGGAAUUGGUAGACACGACAGACUCAAAAUCUGUUGCUCCUGGAGUGUGCCGGUUCAAAUCCGGCCAGAGGUACCA
rnacentral:tRNA from 6 species